AGAGUUUGAUCCUAGCUCAGGAUUAAUGCUGGUGGUGUGCCUAAUACAUGCAAGUCGAACGGAGUAGUUUACUACUUAGUGGCGAACGGGUGAGUAAUGCACAUUCAAUCUACCUUUAAGUUGGGAAUAACCAUUGGAAACAGUGAUUAAUACCGAAUAUGUUUAUUCGACGAUGGUUGAAUAAAUAAAAGAAGCGUUUGCUUCGCUUAAUGAUGAGAGUGUGUUGUAUUAGAUUGUUGGUAGGGUAAAGGCCUACCAAGUCGAUGAUACAUAACCGGACUGAGAGGUUGAACGGUCACACUGGAAUUGAGAUACGGUCCAGACUCCUAUGGGAGGCAGCAGUAAGGAAUUUUUCACAAUGGGCGCAAGCCUGAUGGAGCAACACCACGUGAUCGAUGACGGUCUUUGGAUUGUAAAGAUCUGUGGCAGAGAAUGAAUGGUUUGACCAGGAAAUGGGUUAAACAGUGACAGUACUCUGCUAGAAAGCAACGACUAAUUACGUGCCAGCAGUCGCGGUAACACGUAAGUUGCGAGCAUUAUCCGGAUUUAUUGGGCGUAUAGUAUGCGUAGAUGGUCAAACAAGUCAAAGGUUCAAGAUCGAGGCUUAACCUCUUUAUGCUUUUGAUACUGUUUGACUAAGAGGGUAGAAGAUGUUAAUGGAAUUUCAUGUGUAACGGUGAAAUGUGUGGAGAUAUGAAAGAACACCAAGAGCGAAGGCAAUUAACAUGUCUAUUCCUGACAUUGAGGCAUGAGAGCGCAGGGAGCCAAUCGGAUUAGAUACCCGAGUAGUCUGCUGCUGUAAACGAUGAGUACUAAAUGUUGUCAGUUUCGACAGUGUUGUAGUUAACACGUUAAGUACUCCGCCUGGGGAUUACGAACGCAAGUUUAAAACUCAAAGGAAUUGACGGGAACUCGCACAAGCGGUGGAGCAUGUGGUUUAAUUCGAAAAUACGCGAAGAACCUUACCAGGACUUGACAUUUAGU
rnacentral:rRNA from 1 species